ensembl:lncRNA
CAAAGGGUUAUUUAAUGCGGUAAAUCCGAAGGCUCCUCAGAAGUCAAGAGCUCCCGGGGGAGGCCCCACACUCUGCAGCCUUCCUUUUCAGAAUCACUGGCCCCCCUCCAUCCCAGGUCAGACUUAUUUCCCGUCCUUUGCCACCGGGCAAAUAUUGACUUUCUUUCACCCGCAGCGUUGCCAAUGGAGCUGAGAGCAGCGGGCGGGCUAUUGUCUCCUUCCUCCGCGAGGGCAGGGCCAACUGGGCCAGGCCGGGCAAGAAAGCCAGGGAGGGGAUUGCGCUCCCAGCAGGAACCCCUGAGUCUUUCUAUCUUUGAUUGUGUCUUUCUGGCCGCUCUCCCUUCCCAAGCCCAUUUGGGUUUAUUUCUCCACGUUUUGGCUCUCCUGCUGCCAGGUGGCAUGUCCGACCCGAGAGAAGCAGCAGGCGCAGCUGGCAGACCUGGAAGAGCUGAGCCUGGGAGGCAGGUCCCUAACAGGGGGCAACCUGAUGGGCAUCCUUGCCCGGCCCGGGUCCUCAGUGUUCUGACCCGUGCCGUGGGAGGGCCAGCCUCCACAGUCCAUCUCGGUGUCUAGGCCAGGGAGCUCCCUCCUCCCCAUGACCCACGGCCUGUGGCUGCAAUCCAGGCGUUUUCCCUCGUGCUCUGCCUUGAGACGAGAUGGAAAGCAACUGCUCAGGGCUUCACGGGGAGAGUGGGAAGAGCCAGGGCGAGGCCCACAGGUGCAGGCACAGCCGCUCCUCAUGCUGACAGGCCCUGCGAGACUCCCCCUCUCCAAGCCUCAGUUUCCCCACAAUCAAAAUCAGAGACUGGAUGAGAUGAAGGCAAAGGUCCCUGUCAGCGCCCCUGCCGUGGUUUCCCUCGCCUGCACACCUCUGCGGGCGGGACCGAGACCUCAGCACAGCCCUGUCCUCACGGCUGACCUUGACCUCAAGCCUCCCAGCUUGUCCUCCUCAUAACGGGGCCUCCUCUCGGCCUCCGUGCUUCUCUGUGACAGACGAGGACCGUACACGCAGACUCCUGCAGCCUGGAGUCAGGGCACAAGGCACAGUGGUGACAGCUGCAGGACCGUGGACUCUGUCCCCGCCCUUCCUCUCACCGGAGCCCCCUCUGUGACGUCACAGAGCCUUACAAAGCCCAUUCCUUUUGCAGCACCCAAUUCAAACCAAGAACUCCUCACAUUCCAGGAGUUUUAUGUAAACCGUCCCCACAUAAUCUUCACAAGAACCCAAGAGGACUCUUCCCACAACACCCGAAGCCUGGUGAGAAGCUAUUGUUGCAUCUCAACUGAAGACACAGCCAGAGCCACCCGGAGAAGGAGUGAGACCAGACUUGCCUGUGGCAAGCGCGGUGAGGUGCGCAGGGGCUGCUAUGGCUGUUGUGGCCGAGACGGAACAUCCCUCCAGAUCCCCCUUGUCCCAGGUGGAUGGGGCCCAGCCUAGAGGCAGCUGGACAGCAUGACCUUGGGAGGCCCUUGACAUUCCCCCUUUAACCCCGGGGCCUCCUAUCCGGCACCGGGGACCUUUCCCCAGGAAAGGCUCCGCUCCUGCCAGGACGCACCAAGCUGGAAAGCCAGCUGUUCUUGCCAGGGCUGGAGAUUCUGAAAGUGGGAAGGGUGGCUGGACCAGCGGCUGAGGGUCUCCCCGCCCUGUCACCCUUUUUGGGGGAGGGGAGCCGCAGUUUCUCUGAGGCUAGGUCACAGAGGGAAGGCUGCUGGAGAGGCUGCAGCCACCCCAGCCGUUCGGCCGCCUCACCUGCAUGCAGGGGCCAGAGGCGUCAGGCCUGGGAGAGACUUCGGAUUCGUGAGUUCCAAACCCCUACUUUCCAGAUGAAGAUACUGGGGCCCAAAGGGGUAAGUGAGCUGACCAAGGUCAUAGCCCGGGUCGGAAUGGAAGCUUCCUGACUCCCCCUGGAACGCGGGGCGCACAGCGCCGCUCUGCCACCCUCCUGCCGAGGAAGUGACCGCUGAGCUCCUGGCAGAGGCCAGCGAUCAAAGGCAGCAAAUUCCUAAACGCCACGGCUCGGGGCAGGCGCGCCCGUGGGCUUGUUCCCUCGACCACCCUGCCCCCACCUCGUCCCCAUUCCCGACUGGGGCCCCACGCGCCUCCAUCACCCUGAGGUUCAGAGAUGUGCAGCAGCUUGUCCAAGGUCACACAGCAAACUGAGUGGAACAUGCGCCUCUACUGCCCUGUUGACCCUCCCCACCUCCCACCCCGGUCUCUCCAAGCUCCGCCGCUUGCCAGAAUCCUUGGGACCAUGCUUCCAACAAUGCCCCAAGCCGCGGCGCUUGCUGGAGUAUGAAAAAGUUUCAGAGAGAGGAAGGGGCGGAAGAUGCCGCGGCCCAUCCCAGCCCCAGACGGCUGCGGCAGGGUGGAGGCGCGCAGGGGAAGCGAGCUCCGUGCACCGCCGAUGUCCCCAGCGCACCCCACUGUGCGCCAGGGGGCUCGCGAGCGCCGCGCGGGGCCCUUCCGUUCAUCCUCACUGCGGCGGCAGCGGGGGGUCCCGCGCGCCCCGCACCCACUUUGCAACGCAAGCCGCGCCAUCGGCCCUCCUCCGAGCCCCUUCCCGCGUUCUCCGCGGCGGGCGCCUCGGCUUCCCCGCUCGCCCCCGGUGCCAGCGCCGAUGCACCGCGGCCUCCGUCGCCUUCUCCCCGUCCGGGCUCCCCGCGAGGAGAAACGGGGCGAGGGGCUUCCGGAUCGUCCAGGCACCUCCCCCGGGACUAACUGGAUAAUCCCGACGCAAGUGGAUCUCCGGAGCCCCGUCCCCCACCGCGGGCUCCGUCCUGCACUUAGUUUAUCCGGCCGUGAGCGCCGAGCCCAGAAGUCGGAGCGUCCCAGUUUGGCGACCCCGCAUCCGCCCGCGCCCCUGGCCCUCGGGGGCCGCCCCGUUCGGACUAGGGGCUGCCCCGCAGGGUGUCCCCGCCCGGCGCUGCUCUUACCCGGGGACGCUCCGGGCGUGGUGGGGCCUGCGCUCGCGGAGGGGGCGCAGGCGGGACGGCCGGGUCCCGAAGUCCGGGUCCGCUCUUCCCGCGCGCGGCCGGCCGGCAGCUGCGGUCUCCUCCCGCCCGCCGGCUCCCGCGCUCUGCAGUAGUAACAACCUGGCCCGCUUCCUCGCCCGCCGAUCGAGAUGCUGCUCACAUCCGCCUGCACACGGCGCGUGCCGGCCCUGCGAGGGCGAUCCCCGCCGGCCGCGAAGCACGGCCCCGCCCCAGGCUAUCCCCGCGCGCGGUCUCCGGGCCGGCCGGCCGGGGCGGCAGCUGCGCG